UAGGGAAUCUUCCACAAUGGACGCAAGUCUGAUGGAGCAACGCCGCGUGAGUGAAGAAGGGUUUCGGCUCGUAAAGCUCUGUUGUUAAAAAGAACGUGGGUAAGAGUAACUGUUUACCCAGUGACGGUAUUUAACCAGAAAGCCACGGCUAACUACGUGCCCG
rnacentral:rRNA from 1 species